rnacentral:rRNA from 1 species
CCAAUAGCGUAUAUUAAAGUUGUUGCAGUUAAAAAGCUCGUAGUUGAAUUUCGGGACUAAUAUGUAGGUCGUACUUUGUACGUACUAGCAUUAUUGGUUUCUCCCUUCUGACGAACCACGAUGUCAUUAAUUUGGUGUCAUGGGAAAUCAGGACUGUUACUUUGAAAAAAUUAGAGUGUUUAAAGCAAGCUCGCGCUUGA